rnacentral:misc_RNA from 1 species
GUUCAAAGCAAAGAUCUCAUGACAAAGUGCUCCAUGGAAUCACAAGGAUAUGAACCAUAAUUUUAUUUAAAUGAAUUAGGUUCCUUGUCAUAAUACUGAAGCAUGAACCAGCAAAUCCACACUAUUUUCCCUUUCGCAUAAACAAAAUGCAACUAAUACUAAUUUUAAAACAAACAAAACCAUAGAAUCAUUAAGCCUUGACUAGAAUUUAG